rnacentral:rRNA from 1 species
AUUGAACGCUGGCGGAAUGCUUUACACAUGCAAGUCGAACGGCAGCACGGGGGCAGCCCUGGUGGCGAGUGGCGAACGGGUGAGUAAUACAUCGGAACGUGCCCGGUCGUGGGGGAUAACGUAGCGAAAGUUACGCUAAUACCGCAUACGAUCUGAGGAUGAAAGCGGGGGACCUUCGGGCCUCGCGCGAUCGGAGCGGCCGAUGUCAGAUUAGGUAGUUGGUGGGGUAAAGGCCUACCAAGCCGACGAUCUGUAGCUGGUCUGAGAGGACGACCAGCCACACUGGGACUGAGACACGGCCCAGAAUCCUACGGGAGGCAGCAGUGGGGAAUUUUGGACAAUGGGCGCAAGCCUGAUCCAGCCAUUCCGCGUGCAGGACGAAGGCCUUCGGGUUGUAAACUGCUUUUGUACGGAACGAAAAGGCUCUGGCUAACACCUGGGGCUCAUGACGGUACCGUAAGAAUAAGCACCGGCUAACUACGUG